rnacentral:rRNA from 1 species
GACGAACCGUGCGAACGUUAUUCGGAAUCACUGGGCUUAAAGCGUGCGUAGGCGGCUCAGAAAGUUGGGUGUGAAAUACCUCGGCUCAACCGAGGAAUUGCGCUCAAAACUACUGGGCUUGAGGGAGUUAGAGGUGAGCGGAACUAAUGGUGGAGCGGUGAAAUGCGUUGAUAUCAUUAGGAACACCGGUGGCGAAAGCGGCUCACUGGGGCUCUGCUGACGCUGAGGCACGAAAGCUAGGGGAGCGAAC